rfam:Roseburia sp. 40_7 Ley3_66761_scaffold_26824, whole genome shotgun sequence.
UAUAAAACGCAGAGGGACCGGAUAUUGGUUGAGAAGGUUAAAACCUGACUCUUGGAACCUGUCAGUUAAUACUGUCGUAGGGAGCGGAAGAAAAAGAAAA